rnacentral:lncRNA from 1 species
GCUGAGUUAACUCUUCUCAUUUGAAAUUAACUCAUUUUUCUCUCUCCAAAACCAAACAAAGCCCUAACGUAAGAAGAAAGGCAAAUCCUAGCGAAGAUUAUAAACUGAACCCAUGAAAGAACUGAAGUCUAGGAUUUUGAGCUCAAGUUAGGGAAUAGAAGUUCAACUUUGACUCCGAUCUUAAGCCCAAGGUUUUUCCCCCCAUUAUUUUUCUUUGUUUCUUUUUUAGUUUUUUGGUAAGGGAUAAUUUGAUUUUUAGGUUAAUGUGAAAUGGGUUUUGAUUGUUUUUGUUAUUUAAGUAGGGUUUCUAUGAUUAUUUAAUUCAAAAUGAAUCUUCAUAUUUAUUUCAAAGUAUGGGGAUGAACAAAAUCCUAAUUUAGUUGUUAAUUUACUCUCUUAUUGGAUAAAUUGGUUUCGUUAGUUCAUAUUUUAUCUCCUCGUAAUUUUAAAGUUAAAAAAAAAUGCAACAUCACUGCAUUCUUUUAUGUGUCUAAGCUAGGAGGUAUAAUUUUUUAGAAAAAGCUACAUCUAAUAAUUAGACGGAAAUCCAACAAAAGAGUUCAAAAUUAUUUUACUAUUAUUUGGAAUUAGAUACGUUUAAAAAAUAUGGCCGCUCAGAUCACCUAUCAUUUUAAUGCAGUGGUUUCACUCUUAGAAUCCCAAUCUGGUUUGGGUACUGUUCACAAACGAGAUAUCUACUAUUCAUUGCUAAAUGUCUUCUCUAUAUUACUUGUUUUCCUCCCUUUUUUUUUCUUCUUAAAAGGAAAAAAAAUAAAAGAAGGCGUUUACAUUAAUCUCUGCCUCUCUUUCAUUUGCGUCAAAAUUCCAAAGUUUCGACAAUCAAUCUUCAUCCAGUUUUGUCUUCGACGUUUCUUCGAUCGACCAACAUCAGUAUAAACAAAGGGUAAACCGAGGUUACACUAGACGUCAAUUUUUUUCCUUUCAAUUUUUGUUUGGGUAUGGGGUGCUUAUUAUUGAAAAUUUUCAUAAUUUAAUUGAUGUCUUUGUGAUUUUUCUGCUUUAUUGAAUUCAUUUCUGGAUUUUAUUUAUGACUUGGUGUCCUUUUAAGGGUUCUUCAAUCAUACUAAUUUCUUCUUUAUGUUAAUAAUCUAGCGCAACUCAACUAUUUAAAGUCCUUAAUGUUCUAGGGUUUCAAAUUCAUCCACAUCCAAUCGCCUUAUUAGAGUUUCCUCAGCACUAAGCAGUGGGAGAAGCAACACCACCAUUGAAGAAAGCGGCAGUUUAAUGACGCAGAAGUAACAAAAUAGUUUGUUUUUGCUCUUCUUUUAUCCUCCACAAUUUCAUUGUCGAUAAUUUCAAUACAAGUUUUAGUUCUUUAAUACUGGAACGUUAAAUUUUUUAGGUGUUGGAGAGUGUGAUAUUAAAAAUGGAGAAGUAGGUGUUGGAGCGAUAAAUCAAAAUGAAACUUGCUAACUGUAAGUUCGUUUAAUUUAUUGUUAAUUUUGUCCUUUUGCACUUUCAUAGGGAAAUAGAAAUAUAUGAAUUGCAUCAAUUAGUUUCAACUUUGGAUUAAGACAAAUAAAUUCAGCAGAUAUAAACAACCCCCUCUAAUAAUUUCUGUCUCACAAUACAUAAUUGGUAAAUAUUUAUUAUGGACAAGAACAUGGAUCAAAUUUUAGGGCAAUGUGAAAUUAAAACACAUGCACACUUUCUCUUUGUCUUUGGUUUUUAGAUUAAAUACAAAUGCUUAUUUUGCACUUUCAUAGGGGUUUCAAAUUAGUACUAUAAUGAAGUUUUUUGCCCCCAUAAGUUUAUUUAUACUACUAUUCUCCUACCAACUGGUGGAAAAGAAUAUCUCAGAGCCAUUUAACCGUCGGAGCAAUUUUCAAUAUCAUUUAAGUUGGGUUUAUUAUUUCUCUAUUUAAUUAAUGGUUUCUAAUAUCAAAUUUACCUAUAAUUGAUGAUGAAAUUAAUGCUGAAGUUAGUUUGCUUCAUAACAUUGUUGAAUUUUUGUGGGUUUAGUUAAUUCAAAUCAUAUUUGUGUUGUUCAUGCAUAUGAAUAGUAUGUCUACUUUUAUAUUAUUAUUUUUUUGCAUUUUUAGAUCAUUUAUAUGAGAUUUCCCUCAUAAGUUGAGUAAGUUUGAUAUCAUUGCCGUACUAUAAGAAUUUUGGUAAGUUUGUUUUAUUCUAUUACCGAUUAGGAAAAUCUUAGAUAAAUUCAACAAAUCUAAAGUAGAAUUUAUAAUUUAGAAUUUAACUAAACUUAAUCAUACUGGUUGCGUAAUUUUUAGCUUGAUUUAACUAGGGUUCUUUAUUAUCAAGCAUAUGUGAUUCCUAUCAUAUAUCCUUGUUCAUUUCCAUGUACAAAAACUACGUUAUAUAUAUAUGAUUAAUAAAUAGUUUUUUUUAAUAAUUUUUGCAGAUGUUAUUAGAAUACAUAUUAUCUCCAAAUCAAUGAUUUUCUGCUACCAUUACUCAAUUUGCAAAUCACCAGUACCUUAAAGAUUUUGUAGAACUUAUAGAUGGAGACGAUUAAGCUUCUUAUCUAUGCAGUCACUUUCACGAAUUUAUCUAUGGAAGUAUGUAUAAAGAACAAAAAGAAAAAUUUAGUAGCAAAUUAAUACAUGAGUUCAUAAUGAGACUUAUCAACUGCGACAAAAAUAAUGAAGUUUGGAUACGAUUAGACGAUCAUGUGACCCGUUUUAGCAUGCAAGAAAUUUGUCUAAUCACUGGAUUACCAUGCCAUGAAGUUGCUAUUGAUCUUAAUUUCAGUAAUACUCGACUUAGGGAUGAAUACUUCAAUGGUACAAAAAGAAUUAUUAUGAAAAGACUUUCUAAAGUAUUUCAUAUGUGUUAAGAUCGAGAAGAUAAAUUCAAGUUAGGAUUAGUUAUGUUCGUCGAAUGCAUUUUAAAACCAAAUGGAAGACACAUUGAUUUCAGAACCCUUAGAAUGAUUGAACGACUUGAUGAAUUUCUUAUGUAUCCAUGGGGACGUAAAACAUACUUUGUUUUAUUAAAUUCAUUGCAAGAAUCACAUCUCGAAAGAAUACGAAGGAUGCAACAAAAUGAUCAAACAAAUUGUAAAUAUUCGUUAUGGGGUUAUCCACUUGUAUUUCAGGUAUUUUUCUUUUGUUUUUUUCCCUGUUACAUAUAAUUUAAUCAUAUAAAAACUUUAAUAUUUCUUUUAUUUUUAUUUCAGUAUUGGAUAUAUGAAGCUUUUCCUCAAAUUGGACGACAAUUCGGACGUCGUAUCCUUACAAGCUUCCAGUCUCCACGAAUGCAUAAAUGGAAGCCCAAAAUAGUAAUAACAGAACAAAUCGUUAAACAAUUUUUGG